UCUUAUGGAUGAGCAAAAAGAGUGAUUUCCUGAGAUGCAAUCUACUCCUGGUGAGGAUACUAUGAA
rnacentral:pre_miRNA from 1 species